GAAAAGGGGAAAUGUCUGCAUGGGAGUUUUAAAUGGAACUCAUGAAGGGCUCAAAGAUAGGAAUUUGAUUGGAGACAUAUCGAUGCAGGACAAGAUGGUGAUCUACGACAACGCUAACCAUUUUCUGGGAUGGGCUUCUGAAGAUUGCAGUCAGCUUCCAAAGUCCAGAGCAUUUGCAGCCUAAUUGACAAGAAGCUCCUCAUCGUAUCUCUGUACUUCCAGACUAGAAUCAUGGAAAUGCUGGGCUUCAAAUCAAGCCUUCUCCUAAGAAGCUUAUCAUAGCCAAGUCACUUGUAAAAUAAGCCAUGACUAAUGUUUUUUCCUUUGUCUUACUGGACUGGAUGUUAUGUGUACAAUAAAAUUGCUUACGGGUACACCCGAAGCCAAUUCAAUUACAGCCA